CUCGGCCUCUGAUUCGCUGAAGAGUUCAGAAAUGUUUCCAACAUUUUUAAUUGCUUGGCUAGACCCUACCCCUUACCUUGCUGCCUUAGCAACAGCCUCCUCAAGAACCAGAGCAUCUGCAACUUCUUCUUUUGGCCCGAUAUCCACUUCAGUGUUGCCUUGGGCUGCAAGACCAAAAUAAAAGUUAGUAAAUGACGGAUUAUGGAAGCAUCACCAAAAGAAGCAAAAUAGAAGUAGCAAGGUGUACCUAUGAGAAUAAGCUAGUUCUUUUGGUUAAUUGCCCCCUUCCAGCUCUCAAGUUCAUCUUUUUUCUGGAAGGAUUUGAAAAAGAAUUGCCCGAAUAGGCGAUUGUGUGCCUCUCUGAUAUCAUCAUCAUACUUUUUUGACCACUUGGCCUUCCACCAAGUGGCAAAGAAUGGAGUACACUCAAAAUUGAGGGCCACAUGCUUGUGUGUUAUACAGCUCAUCACUUUCAAACUGCGCCGAGCAACCCGAAAUGUCACGUCGACGGGAAAGUGGAGGCAGAAGGAAGUCACACAACGCAUAAAGUCAAAGUAGAGCAUUGGGAUGGCCUACUUAAAUCCCAGGUGCCUACCACAGAAAUUAGGGUGGUAGACUUCUAGCUCGCGCUCGUAGCCCAUGCGAUC
rnacentral:lncRNA from 1 species